GAGCACGUAGGUGGGUUUGUAAGUCAGAUGUGAAAGCCUCCUGUUCAACGGGAGAAUUGCAUCUGAAACUACUGAUCUUGAGUGUAGGAGGGGAGAAUGGAACUUCUGGUGGAGCGGUGAAAUGCGUAGAUAUCAGAAGGAACGCCGGCGGCGAAAGCGAUUCUCUGGCCUAUUACUGACACUCAGUGUGCGAAAGCUAGGGGAGCAAACGGGAUUAGAUACCCCGGUAGUCCUAGCCGUAAACGAUGGGCACUAAGUAGAGGGGU
rnacentral:rRNA from 1 species